CGGUACAUUUCAUCAUUUUGAUUCCAACAACCAAAUGUCAAGUGCUCUCUAGUAUACCUUCCCUUAUUCUACCAAUGAAGCACGCCGCCUGCGAAUUACGAGCGAUUAAGCUGGCUGUCCAACCCAAGCGAGUAGUGCUUUUUGAACAUUGUAAACAGAUCACAACCUAAUUUGAGAGACAUUAGAUUUACUUGAAUGAUAAGUUGUUUUGUGGUAAAUUUUCGUGAUAGUAAAUGUGGACGCAAAGAAAAACUUGUGUGUAUAUAAAGUAUAAAUUACCCAACUUGAUAUCUCGGCAGAAGAAAAGCAGAAUUUGUUACAUUCGUCUCUGCUGUUGAACUCGCAAGUCUCGGCAUUGUGUAGUAAGAAGUCUCGAUAGGGGUCAGUUGGGUCAGGUUGAGUUCAAACUUCAAAAUAGUUUCCUAUCGGCCAUUUUCACCUGUUAAUAACAACGACCAGCAACGACGCACUUAUUCGCCACUUUAAUCCAGUUGAUUUCAAAUUAAUUGCAAGAAAUUCCAAUGUUUGAGCCAUAAAUAAGACAAAUCAUCUGAAAGAGUACUCAUACUAUUACAAAGAUGACAUAUGCACACCAUCAACAAGGGAUUUUUACUCUUGAAGAUCUCAAACAAAGCACUGAAUUUCCUGUUAUAGUGCCUGUGGAUCCGAGCUUGCCCCAGAAAUUUUUCUGACAUCCUCUAGUAUCCAUAAUGGUUAUAAAAUUUUAGUUCCUGCAUCCAACAAUGACCUUAGUCUGCUUGAAGAACUGGGAGAGAAAAUAGAAAUGAAUGGCAAAUUGAGUGGUGGAUUGAUGCAUCACAGAUAAUCUCAAUCUCUCCAUCAGAUUUCUCUGUGUCUCUGCUGUGUGAACUAAUUUCCUUGUCCAUUAUAGACUUCCAAGAAUUUGGCCAAGGGAUAAAAUCUGUGGAAGCAAAUUUGUCACAUUUUGUUCUUUAUAGGGCUGUUGAAUAGAAGCUAAUGACUAUGUAACGAUGUCGAACCGAAACGCUAUAGGCUACACUUCUAUUAUAAACAAAAAGGAAUGGGCAGGUAAAUAGAAGAAAAAAGAAAACU